rnacentral:rRNA from 1 species
UACGUAGGGUGCGAGCGUUAAUCGGAAUUACUGGGCGUAAAGCGUGCGCAGGCGGUUUUGUAAGCCAGAUGUGAAAUCCCCGGGCUUAACCUGGGAAUGGCAUUUGGGACUGCAAGGCUGGAGUACGGCAGAGGAGACCGGAAUUCCUGGUGUAGCAGUGAAAUGCGUAGAGAUCAGGAGGAAUACCGAUGGCGAAGGCAGGUCUCUGGGCUGAUACUGACGCUCAUGCACGAAAGCGUGGGGAGCAAACAGG